ACCUAGCUGGCUCAGUUGGAGGAGCGUGCAACUCUUGAUCUCAGGGUCAUGAGUUCAAGUCCCAUGUUGGGUG
rnacentral:tRNA from 1 species